AUAAAUAACGUCAAAAACGGAGUUCGUAUGAGCGAGUUACAAAUUAUAGUAGUAUAUUUACGUAUUAAAAUAAAGUAUAAAUCAUGUAUACGUACACAUAUAUAUACAUAUGUAUAUAUCAUUAGAAAGGUAUCGACGAUGCGGUUAUUAUAAAACUAAUGUUGAGUUCUUUCGACAUUAGUUUAGUACAAAGAUCAUUAAAUCCAUUUAAAAUAGUAUUAUAGAGGGGUGUUUAGUUGUUUAUAUAACUAAAAGAUCAUUAAGUAAUUAUGGAGGGUAGUUUUUGAAAAUUCAAUUAGUAUAAAUAAGAGCCUUGGGCUCUCAUAUUUCUUGCACCAUUCUCUUGAUUCAAGAGUCUUUCUCUCCUUAUCCCCCGAGCAUUUCGGUCCCUCGUGAUUCGACUUCUCUUUCUGUAGUUUUAGUAUAGUAAGGUGAGCGCUGAAGCGCUGCACGAAUCUUUCUUAGAAAGAUUCAGCGACGAAGUUCUGCCCCUGCAGAGCCCGACUCCUAGCUAAAAUCCCCUUGAAAGUUUCGUCAAAGGAAAUUAUUUUAAAGUAAACGAAGCGCUGUCCGAGUACCGAGUCACCACCUUCUCAGGUGUUGAUAUGAAGUCACAAUACACUGAGAGAUUUAAAGAGAUGUAGAUCACUAGUGUAAAUAAUUGUAAGUUCUGUUUAUGCUUAUGUUUCUGUAUUAACGAUGACAUCCCAAACGUUUUAAAAUGAAAUAAAUACGUUUCAUCGAAAAUGUUUUAAUAACGUAUUUACCAUGUUUUUCUGGGAACAAAUUCCGCAACAUUUUUAUAAAAUGAAGUACUCUGAUUUUUAUAAAGCAUAAACAAAAUCGGUCUUUUCUGGCCGUGAAAAUGGGGAUGUCACAAAAAUGACCGAAAGGAAGAACGUUUGGGAAGAACGUUAGUGUUUGGUACAAACAGUCGAGGACUGAAGGUAUUCCAAGAUCGAAUUUGGGUACCUAAGACGGGAGGAAUAAGAGAUCUUCUGAUGGAAGAAGCACACAAGACCAUGUACUCGAUUCAUCCCGGUAGCACUAAAAUGUAUAGGGACCUAAAACCCUACUACUGGUGGCCAACGAUGAAGCUCGAUGUUGCGAAGUAUGUGGCCGAGUGCGUAACAUGUGCGAGGGUUAAGGCACAACAUCAGAAACCGUAUGGGAGUUUGGAACCUUUACCUGUACCCAUGGGUAAAUGGGAAGACAUCACCAUGGAUUUUGUGACUAAACUGCCCAGGACGAAGAACGGUCACGACAUGAUUUGGGUAGUCAUGGAUCGUUUCACCAAGAGUGCACACUUCA